rnacentral:rRNA from 1 species
GCUCAGAUUGAACGCUGGCGGCAGGCCUAACACAUGCAAGUCGAACGGUAACAGGAAGCAGCUUGCUGCUUUGCUGACGAGUGGCGGACGGGUGAGUAAUGUCUGGGAAACUGCCUGAUGGAGGGGGAUAACUACUGGAAACGGUGGCUAAUACCGCAUAACGUCGCAAGACCAAAGAGGGGGACCUUCGGGCCUCUUGCCAUCAGAUGUGCCCAGAUGGGAUUAGCUUGUUGGUGAGGUAACGGCUCACCAAGGCGACGAUCCCUAGCUGGUCUGAGAGGAUGACCAGCCACACUGGAACUGAGACACGGUCCAGACUCCUACGGGAGGCAGCAGUGGGGAAUAUUGCACAAUGGGCGCAAGCCUGAUGCAGCCAUGCCGCGUGUAUGAAGAAGGCCUUCGGGUUGUAAAGUACUUUCAGCGGGGAGGAAGGUGUUGUGGUUAAUAACCGCAGCAAUUGACGUUACCCGCAGAAGAAGCACCGGCUAACUCCGUGCCAGCAGCCGCGGUAAUACGGAGGGUGCAAGCGUUAAUCGGAAUUACUGGGCGUAAAGCGCACGCAGGCGGUCUGUCAAGUCGGAUGUGAAAUCCCCGGGCUCAACCUGGGAACUGCAUUCGAAACUGGCAGGCUUGAGUCUUGUAGAGGGGGGUAGAAUUCCAGGUGUAGCGGUGAAAUGCGUAGAGAUCUGGAGGAAUACCGGUGGCGAAGGCGGCCCCCUGGACAAAGACUGACGCUCAGGUGCGAAAGCGUGGGGAGCAAACAGGAUUAGAUACCCUGGUAGUCCACGCCGUAAACGAUGUCUACUUGGAGGUUGUGCCCUUGAGGCGUGGCUUCCGGAGCUAACGCGUUAAGUAGACCGCCUGGGGAGUACGGCCGCAAGGUUAAAACUCAAAUGAAUUGACGGGGGCCCGCACAAGCGGUGGAGCAUGUGGUUUAAUUCGAUGCAACGCGAAGAACCUUACCUGGUCUUGACAUCCACAGAACUUUCCAGAGAUGGACUGGUGCCUUCGGGAACUGUGAGACAGGUGCUGCAUGGCUGUCGUCAGCUCGUGUUGUGAAAUGUUGGGUUAAGUCCCGCAACGAGCGCAACCCUUAUCCUUUGUUGCCAGCGGUUAGGCCGGGAACUCAAAGGAGACUGCCAGUGAUAAACUGGAGGAAGGUGGGGAUGACGUCAAGUCAUCAUGGCCCUUACGACCAGGGCUACACACGUGCUACAAUGGCGCAUACAAAGAGAAGCGACCUCGCGAGAGCAAGCGGACCUCAUAAAGUGCGUCGUAGUCCGGAUUGGAGUCUGCAACUCGACUCCAUGAAGUCGGAAUCGCUAGUAAUCGUGGAUCAGAAUGCCACGGUGAAUACGUUCCCGGGCCUUGUACACACCGCCCGUCACACCAUGGGAGUGGGUUGCAAAAGAAGUAGGUAGCUUAACCUUCGGGAGGGCGCUUACCACUUUGUGAUUCAUGACUGGGGUGAAGUCGUAACAAGGUAACCGUAGGGGAACCUGCGGUUGGAUCACCUCCUUACCU